rnacentral:rRNA from 1 species
UAAGGAAUAUUGGACAAUGGACGCAAGUCUGAUCCAGCCAUCCCGCGUGCAGGAUGACUGCCCUAUGGGUUGUAAACUGCUUUUAUUUGGGAAGAAACCUAUCCAUUUAUGGGUAGCUGACGGUACCUUAUGAAUAAGCACCGGCUAACUCCGUGCCAGCAGCCGCGGUAAUACGGAGGGUGCAAGCGUUAUCCGGAAUCACUGGGUUUAAAGGGAGCGUAGGCGGCAUAAUAAGUCAGAGGUGAAAGGCUGUAGCUCAACUAUGGAACUGCCUUUGAUACUGUUAUGCUUGAAUCAAGUUGAGGUUAGCAGAAUGUGACAUGUAGCGGUGAAAUGCAUAGAUAUGUCAUAGAAUACCAAUUGCGAAGGCAGCUGGCUGGACUUGUAUUGACGCUGAGGCUCGAAAGCGUGGGGAGCAAACAGG